GGCAAUGGGCGCAAGCCUGACCCAGCGACGCCGCGUGAGGGAAGACAGCCUUCGGGUUGUAAACCUCUGUUGCAGGGGAAGAAGGAAGUGACGGUACCCUGCGAGGAAGCUCCGGCUAACUACGUGCCAGCAGCCGCGGUAAUACGUAGGGAGCGAGCGUUGUGGCGGAAUUACUGGGCGUAAAGGGCGCGUAGGCGGCGCUUCAAGUCGUCUGUCAAAAGCCGAGGCUCAACCUCGGUGCGCAGACGAAACUGGAGAGCUUGAGAAGCAGAGAGGCAAACAGAAUUCCUGGUGUAGCGGUGAAAUGCGUAGAUAUCAGGAAGAAUACCAGUGGCGAAGGCGGUUUGCUGGCUGCAUUCUAACGCUGAAGCGCGAAAGCCAGGGGAGCAAACGGGAUUAGAUACCCCGGUAGUCCUGGCAGUAAACGAUGUAUGCUGGGUGUGGGACUAGCGAUAGUUCCGUGCCGAAGUUGACGCGAUAAGCAUACCGCCUGGGGAGUACGGUCGCAAGAUUGAAACUCAAAGGAAUUGACGGGGGCCCGCACAAGCGGUGGAGCACGUGGUUUAAUUCGAUGCAAACCGAAGAACCUUACCUGGACUUGACAUCCACGCGGUAGAGAAGCGAAAGCGGAUCGACCCUUUCGCAAGGAAGG
rnacentral:rRNA from 1 species